AGGGCAGUAGCCCCGCUCAGCGGGGCACUACGUUCGGGACGUAGGGGUCGCUGGUUCGAAUCCAGUCUGCCCGA
rnacentral:tRNA from 1 species